UUGCUAUGAUGACUGUCUUAGGACACCUUUGGAAUGCCCAUGAAAAAAAAAUGUAUUUCUGAGCAAC
rnacentral:snoRNA from 1 species